rnacentral:ncRNA from 2 species
ACAUCCAGUCACGGGUACCCGGUGCGAAUCCGGGCUGAGACGCCGACAAACGGCGAACCGUCGAACCUGAUCCGGUUAGUACCGGCGCUAGGGAGAUUAUUGUGAAAACUU